CUUGGUCAUUUAGAGGAAGUAAAAGUCGUAACAAGGUCUCCGUUGGUGAACCAGCGGAGGGAUCAUUACCGAGUUUACAACUCCCAAACCCAAUGUGAACGUUACCAAACUGUUGCCUCGGCGGGAUCUCUGCCCCGGGUGCGUCGCAGCCCCGGACCAAGGCGCCCGCCGGAGGACCAACCAAAACUCUUAUUGUAUACCCCCUCGCGGGUUUUUUACUAUCUGAGCCAUCUCGGCGCCCCUCGUGGGCGUUUCGAAAAUGAAUCAAAACUUUCAACAACGGAUCUCUUGGUUCUGGCAUCGAUGAAGAACGCAGCGAAAUGCGAUAAGUAAUGUGAAUUGCAGAAUUCAGUGAAUCAUCGAAUCUUUGAACGCACAUUGCGCCCGCCAGUAUUCUGGCGGGCAUGCCUGUCCGAGCGUCAUUUCAACCCUCGAACCCCUCCGGGGGGUCGGCGUUGGGGAUCGGCCCUUUACGGGGCCGGCCCCGAAAUACAGUGGCGGUCUCGCCGCAGCCUCUCCUGCGCAGUAGUUUGCACACUCGCAUCGAGAGCGCGGCGCGUCCACAGCCGUUAAACACCCCAAACUUCUGAAAUGUUGACCUCGGAUCAGGUAGGAAUACCCGCUGAACUUAAGCAUAUCAAUAAGCGGAGGA
rnacentral:rRNA from 1 species